AUGUCAAAGGCUUUUAAUGAGACAUUCGUUAUCAAUCGGUCUUCGGCAUAGCAUCUGUAAGGCUCCUGUACAAUCUAUCGUAACUAUGGAACCGAAAAUUAAUUUAAAGCAAGACGCAGCAUAUCAGAAAUUACAAGAAUAUUACAAUGUAAACAGCACAAAAAUUAAUAUGCUCCAACUUUUCCAACAAGAUCGGGAGCGCUUCGAAAAGUUCAGCCUCUGUAUCCCAACACCGAACGAUGGAGACAUCUUACUCGACUAUUCCAAGAACCGUAUCAACAGUGAUGUUUUUAAGUUGCUCCUCGAUCUAGCUAAGAGCAGAAAUGUUGAACAAGCCAGAGAUGCCAUGUUCUCAGGUCAAAAGAUAAACUUCACAGAAGACAGGGCAGUACUGCAUAUAGCUCUGCGUAACCGUCAGAACAAGCCUAUCCUGGUGAACGGUAAGGAUGUCAGCACUGAUGUCAACGCGGUACUAGAACACAUGAAGGAAUUCUCCGAUCAAGUAGUGAGCGGGCAAUGGAAGGGGUAUACAGGAAAAGCUAUAACAGAUGUGAUCAACAUUGGUAUUGGGGGCUCAGAUUUGGGUCCCCUCAUGGUCACAGAAGCACUGAAGCCCUAUGCUAAUCAUCUUAAGGUCCAUUUCGUAUCUAACAUCGACGGCACCCACCUGGCUGAGGUCUUGAAGAAGCUGAACCCUGAGACAGCGCUGUUCAUCAUAGCAUCCAAGACUUUCACCACACAAGAGACGAUAACCAAUGCGAGCUCAGCUAAGACGUGGUUCCUGGAAUCCGCUAAGGAUCCCUCGGCGGUGGCGAGACACUUCGUCGCUUUAUCGACGAACGCCGAGAAGGUCACCGCGUUCGGUAUCGACGCUAACAACAUGUUCGGCUUCUGGGACUGGGUCGGGGGCAGAUAUUCGCUGUGGUCCGCGAUCGGUCUGUCCAUCUCGCUGUACAUCGGACACGAAAACUUCGAGAAACUUCUGGACGGAGCCAAUUUCAUGGACCAGCACUUCGUCACCGCACCGCUGGAGAAGAAUGCUCCCGUGAUCUUAGCUCUGUUAGGAGUCUGGUACCACAAUUUCUACGGAGCAGAGACCCAUGCGCUGCUGCCUUACGAUCAAUAUCUACACAGAUUCGCAGCGUAUUUCCAGCAGGGCGAUAUGGAGAGCAAUGGCAAGUACGUGACGCGUUCAGGAGCCGAAGUGGAAUACUCCACGGGGCCCAUCGUGUGGGGCGAGCCCGGGACCAACGGACAGCACGCCUUCUACCAGCUCAUACACCAGGGAACCAGAUUGAUUCCAUGCGAUUUCAUCGCUCCAGCCCAAACUCACAAUCCAAUUUCGAAUGGUGUUCACCACAAGAUCCUUCUAGCUAAUUUCUUGGCUCAAACCGAAGCCCUGAUGAAGGGCAAGACAGCUGACGAGGCUAAAGCUGAGCUAGAGAAAUCUGGUAUGGCUCCGGAGGCAAUAGACAAGAUCCUUCCGCACAAGGUAUUCAAAGGAAACCGGCCUACAAACUCUAUUGUUCUGAAGAAGAUCACUCCAUUCACUUUAGGAGCACUUAUUGCCAUGUACGAACACAAGAUCUUCACGCAAGGUGUGAUCUGGGAUAUCAAUUCAUACGAUCAAUGGGGAGUUGAACUCGGCAAGCAAUUGGCCAAGGCAAUCGAGCCUGAGCUGCAGGGGACUGCAGCUGUGACCGGCCACGACGCUUCCACGAAUGGACUCAUUAACUUCCUCAAGAAGAACUUUUGAGAUUAUAGUAGAAUGACGUCACACAUAGUUUAAUUUGCUUUGGUGGUUAUAUGUGUAAUCGAGACAUAUGUAUUUGCCGGAAUUAAAAGUUCUUAGUUCUUAAUUGUGCACAAUAUAAAACAUCAUCAAUAAUCAUAACGACUGAUAUUCGUUAGUUUUGAACAAAGAACAAUGUUUGAGGUCUUGUUUGCAUAUAUUUUUUUAAAUAUAUUAUUUUGUUAAAUUAUUUUAGUAAGGAUAAUUA